rnacentral:rRNA from 1 species
AUUGAACGCUGGCGGCAGGCUUAACACAUGCAAGUCGAGCGGGGGAGGUUGCUUCGGUAACUGGCCUAGCGGCGGACGGGUGAGUAAUGCUUAGGAAUCUGCCUAUUAGUGGGGGACAACAUUCCGAAAGGAAUGCUAAUACCGCAUACGCCCUACGAGGGAAAGCAGGGGAUCUUCGGCCCUUGCGCUAAUAGAUGAGCCUAAGUCGGAUUAGCUAGUUGGUGGGGUAAAGGCCUACCAAGGCGACGAUCUGUAGCGGGUCUGAGAGGAUGAUCCGCCACACUGGGACUGAGACACGGCCCAGAUUCCUACGGGAGGCAGCAGUGGGGAAUAUUGGACAAUGGGCGGAAGCCUGAUCCAGCCAUGCCGCGUGUGUGAAGAAGGCCUUUUGGGUGUAAAGCACUUUAAGCGAGGAGGAGGCUCUUAAGGUUAAUACCCUUGGUGAGUGGACGUUACUCGCAGAAUAAGCACCGGCUAACUCUGUGCCAGCAGCCGCCGCCGUAA